CUGAGGCUGCUUAAAAGAGAGGACCUGCUGAUACUUCUUUACUAAGAAAUGAAGGAGGAGACAAUUUCUGAAAGAUGUUGAUUGACUACCAACAAUUAUGGAGGAAGUACAGUGCAAGAAGUGAUUCAGCUCCUGAGGAAUCUUUACAGGAUACACUGAAAUGGCUGCGGUACCUUUGUGGAAAGUGACAUUAAUAUGUAUAG
rnacentral:lncRNA from 1 species